GAUCUUGUAGCUCAGUUGGUAGAGCACAUCACUUUUAAUGAUGGGGUCCUGGGUUCGAGUCCCAGCGGGAUCA
rnacentral:tRNA from 2 species